GAGACUGUAGCAUAAUCGGCUAAUGCCACUCGCUCAUAAUGGGUUAGAUAUAGGUUCGAGUCCUUUCGGUCUUA